UUGUACACACCGCCCGUCACACCAAUGGGAGUUGAUAAUACCCGAAGCCUGUGACCUAAUUGAGGAGCAGUCGAAGGUAGGAUUGAUGACUGGGGUGAAGUCGUAACAAGGUAGCCGUAUCGGAAGGUGCGGCUGGAUCACCUCCUUUCUAAGGA
rnacentral:rRNA from 1 species